AUUGAACGCUGGCGGCAGGCCUAACACGUGCAAGUCGAGCGAGCGGCGGACGGGUGAGUAAUGUAUGGGGACUGCCCGAUAGAGGGGGAUAACUACUGGAAACGGUGGCUAAUCCCGCAUACUAUCGGAUAACCCAUAUGGGAUUAGCUAGUAGGUGGGGUAAAGGCUCACCUAGGCGACGGUCUCUAGCUGGCCGGCGAGGAUGAUCUGCCACACUGGGAAGUAGACACGGACCAGACUCCUACGGCGGAAGCAGUGGGGAAUAUUGCACAAUUGGCGCAAGCCUGAUGCAGCGAUGCCGCGUGUAGGAAGAAGGCCUUAGGGUUGUAAAGUUCUUUCAGCGGGGAGGCGUUACCCGCAGAAGAAGCACCGGCUAACUCCGUGCCAGCCGCCGCGGUAAUAC
rnacentral:rRNA from 1 species